CCCUUAGAUGUUCUGGGCUGCACGCGCGCUACACUGAAGCGUUCAACGAGUAUUUCACCUUGCCCGGGAGGGUUGGGUAAUCUUUUUAAAACGCUUCGUGAUGGGGAUAGAUUAUUGCAAUUAUUAAUCUUCAACGAGGAAUUCCUAGUAAGCGCGAGUCAUCAGCUCGUGCUGAUUACGUCCCUGCCCUUUGUACACACCGCCCGUCGCUCCUACCGAUUGAGUGUUCCGGUGAAUAAUUCGGACUGCAGCAGUGCUUGGUCCUCCGGGCUUUGCAGCGGAAAGUUUAGUGAACCUUAUCACUUAGAGGAAGGAGAAGUCGUAACA
rnacentral:rRNA from 1 species